rnacentral:hammerhead_ribozyme from 1 species
CUCAUAAGUCUGGGCUAAGCCCACUGAUGAGCCGCUGGAAUGCGGCGAAACUUAUGGG